rnacentral:sRNA from 1 species
CUAAUGGAUGCCGCUUCGGUGAUG